rnacentral:rRNA from 1 species
CCUACGGGUGGCAGCAGUGAGGAAUAUUGGUCAAUGGGCGGGAGCCUGAACCAGCCAAGCCGCGUGAGGGAAGAAGGUACUGUGUAUUGUAAACCUCUUUUGUCAGGGAACAAAGGCCGGGACUUGUCCCCGGUUGAGGGUACCUGAAGAAAAAGCAUCGGCUAACUCCGUGCCAGCAGCCGCGGUAAUACGGAGGAUGCGAGCGUUAUCCGGAUUUAUUGGGUUUAAAGGGUGCGCAGGCGGACUGUUAAGUCAGCGGUAAAAGUGCGGGGCUCAACCCCGGCGAGCCGUUGAAACUGGCGGGCUGGAGUGGGAGAGAAGUAGGCGGAAUGCGUGGUGUAGCGGUGAAAUGCUUAGAUAUCGCGCAGAACCCCGAUUGCGAAGGCAGCGUACCGGCGCCAAACUGACGCUGAGGCACGAAAGCGUGGGUAUCGAACAGGAUUAGAUACCCUAGUAGUC